ACACCAGCUUUGAUUCAUUCAGUGCUAGGACUGGUACCUAAUGCUGGGUGUUGGGAAAAUUGCUGUUCUGGGGAGAUAUUUUGGUGGGUGAUGAUAAAAAAAGGAUGGAUGUUAAUUUUCCCAGAGUGGAUAGGAGUCAUGGAAUUUCUGGAAGGAGUCAAAAGUAAAAAUGACAGAAGGAGAUGGAGUUUCCAGCCUUAUGAAUUAAGUUGUGUGCAUCUGUAACGGAAGGACGUCUGUCUCGGUGGCAGCAAUAGCUCUUUUGCUCCUGGAGAACUCUUCCUCUUGACAGAGGUCUACAAACAGA